AUUUCCUUCUCUUCUCAGGGUUUCUUGUUAAUAAAUGGUCAAAUUUUCAGAUUUUUUUGUGUGCUUCUCUUGUUUAUAAAAUUUUUGGUAGAUCAGUACAUAUGAUGCUCUAAUUCAUUCCUAUUGUUGCUUUAAAAUCAUUGAAAUGAAUUUUAAAUCUCAGCUUUCUGCUGUCUUUAUCUUCUGCGUUUGGACGGACUUAGAUUUAUAUUAGUAGAUUUUUGUGGUGUGUAGUUGUGAGGGUUAGUGGCUGUUGAAACCUUUCUUUCUUUUUUUCAUUGAGCUGAGGUAAGGGGUUGGGGUUCAGCUUUAAAGUGGAUGCUGGGCUCUUGUUGUAAACGGCGUUAAAUUUUUUAUGGUUAAUGGCUGUUUGUAAGACUGAAUACGUUGGAGUUGUUUGUUUUUGUAUGAGAGGCUCUCUUGUGUUCUUAAUUUUUUUCAGUGUAGAUGUCAGUAGUAGUUAGGUAUAAGCAACUGAUUUUGUAAAGAUUGGAGGAUUACAUGUUUUAGAAUUACAGGAAGAAGACAUGGGAUCAACUGGUUUUAUGAGACUGUGAAGAGAACUCUGUUGACAGGUGAAUCAGUUUGAAUCUAUGGUUACACUAAAAGCUAAAGCUGUUCACAGGAACAUUAUUCGGGAUUUGGUGAAGGAGCUUAAAUGUGGAUUUCUGAGGAAUUUUAUUAGGAGAAAUGUGAGUAGGGGAAAAAUGCUAUACUUAAGGGUGGAGUGUGGAGAAAUCAUGUGCAACGUGGUUUGCUAUUUGGGGGUUCCAUCAAUCAUUGAUAUGUAUCAGUUUUUUUUGUUUCCAAUAGUGCAAACAAAUACGCUUGCUCAUUUGUGCUGUUAUCCACACUUCUUAUGGAUUAUAUGAUUGUCUGUUGCAUGUA